GACGAACGCUGGCGGCGUGCCUAAUACAUGCAAGUCGAACGCUUCUUUCCUCCCGAGUGCUUGCACUCAAUUGGAAAGCGGAGUGGCGGACGGGUGAGUAACACGUGGGUAACCUACCCAUCAGAGGGGGAUAACACUUGGAAACAGGUGCUAAUACCGCAUAACAGUUUAUGCCGCAUGGCAUAAGAGUGAAAGGCGCUUUCGGGUGUCGCUGAUGGAUGGACCCGCGGUGCAUUAGCUAGUUGGUGAGGUAACGGCUCACCAGGGCCACGAUGCAUAGCCGACCUGAGAGGGUGAUCGGCCACACUGGGACUGAGACACGGCCCAGACUCCUACGGGAGGCAGCAGUAGGGAAUCUUCGGCAAUGGACGAAAGUCUGACCGAGCAACGCCGCGUGAGUGAAGAAGGUGUUCGGAUCGUAAAACUCUGUUGUUAGAGAAGAACAAGGACGUUAGUAACUGAACGUCCCCUGACGGUAUCUAACCAGAAAGCCACGGCUAACUACGUG
rnacentral:rRNA from 1 species